rnacentral:rRNA from 1 species
AUUGAACGCUGGCGGCAGGCCUAACACAUGCAAGUCGAACGGUAACAGGAAACAGCUUGCUGUUUCGCUGACGAGUGGCGGACGGGUGAGUAAUGUCUGGGAAACUGCCUGAUGGAGGGGGAUAACUACUGGAAACGGUAGCUAAUACCGCAUAACGUCGCAAGACCAAAGAGGGGGACCUUCGGGCCUCUUGCCAUCGGCUGUGCCCAGAUGGGAUUAGCUAGUAGGUGGGGUAACGGCUCACCUAGGCGACGAUCCCUAGCUGGUCUGAGAGGAUGACCAGCCACACUGGAACUGAGACACGGUCCAGACUCCUACGGGAGGCAGCAGUGGGGAAUAUUGCACAAUGGGCGAAAGCCUGAUGCAGCCAUGCCGCGUGGAUGAAGAAGGCCUUCGGGUGGUAAAGUACUUUCAGCGGGGAGGAAGGGAGUAAAGUUAAUACCUUUGCUCAUUGACGUUACCAGCAGAAGAAGCACCGGCAAACUCCGU